CCUGACUGCUAUCGGAUUGAUACUAAGCCAUGCGAGUCUUUGUAGUAAUACAAGGCAGACGGCUCAGUAACACGUAGUCAACCUACCCUAUGGACAAGAAUAAUCUCGGGAAACUGGGCAUAAUUCUUGAUAGAUCAUAAUGCCUGGAAUGGUUUAUGGUUAAAAUGAUUCGUCGCCAUAGGAUGGGACUGCGGCCUAUCAGCUUGUUGGUGAGGUAAUGGCCCACCAAGGCGAUUACAGGUACGGGCUCUGAGAGGAGUAGCCCGGAGAUGGGUACUGAGACACGGACCCAGGCCCUAUGGGGCGCAGCAGGCGAGAAAACUUUGCAAUGUGCGAAAGCACGACAAGGUUAAUCCGAGUGAUUUCUGCUAAAGAAAUCUUUUGUUAGUCCUAGAAACACUAACGAAUAAGGGGUGGGCAAGUUCUGGUGUCAGCCGCCGCGGUAAAACCAGCACCUCAAGUGGUCAGGAUGAUUAUUGGGCCUAAAGCAUCCGUAGCCGGCUCUGUAAGUUUUCGGUUAAAUCUGUACGCUUAACGUACAGGCUGCCGGGAAUACUGCAUAGCUAGGGAGUGGGAGAAGUAGACGGUACUCGGUAGGAAGUGGUAAAAUGCUUUGAUCUAUCGAUGACCACCUGUGGCGAAGGCGGUCUACUAGAACACGUCCGACGGUGAGGGAUGAAAGCUGGGGGAGCAAACCGGAUUAGAUACCCGGGUAGUCCCAGCUGUAAACUAUGCAAACUCAGUGAUGCAUUGGCUUGUGGCCAAUGCAGUGCUGCAGGGAAGCCGUUAAGUUUGCCGCCUGGGAAGUACGUACGCAAGUAUGAAACUUAAAGGAAUUGGCGGGGGAGCACCACAAGGGGUGAAGCCUGCGGUUC
rnacentral:rRNA from 1 species